AAAAAAAAUUGUAUUACAGUUAAAACACAAUACUCUGAAAUAUCCUCAAGUCGAUGUUGUUCAACACACAAUCAUCGUAGAUCCAUUGCCGCGAAGAUCAAGAACAAAAAAUAAACAAUUUAGAAAUAUCCCACAACAGUGCAAAUAGCAACUCAAUUUCAAAACAAACCGUUUGUUCAAAGUGUUUAAACUAAUGGCGUGGUUACUAGAGGCCUGGGCUCUGUCAAGUGUCUCUUGUGUGAUUGGGG